rnacentral:rRNA from 1 species
AGGCAAUACCGCGAGGUGGAGCAAACCCCUAAAAGCCGUCCCAGUUCGGAUUGCAGGCUGCAACCCGCCUGUAUGAAGUUGGAAUCGCUAGUAAUCGCGGAUCAGCAUGCCGCGGUGAAUACGUUCCCGGGCCUUGUACACACCGCCCGUCACACCAUGAGAGUCGGGAACACCCGAAGUCCGUAGUCUAACUUUCACGAGAGGACGCGGCCGAAGGUGGGUUCGAUAAUUGGGGUGAAGUCGUAACAAGGUAAC